CGCAUCUGUGCAUGCAGCAUAUCAAUAAGCGGAGGAAAAGAAACUAACAAGGAUUCCCCUAGUAACGGCGAGUGAAGCGGGAAGAGCUCAAAUUUGAAAUCUUAAAGGGUUUCCCUUUACGAAUUGUAGUUUAAAGAAGUGUUUUCUGUUGAGGUUUUGGUAAAAGUUCUUUGGAAUAGGACAUCAUAGAGGGUGAGAAUCCCGUAUUUGACCUUUACUUUCAACUUUGUGAUACACUUUCAAAGAGUCGGAUUGUUUGGGAAUGCAGUCCAAAAUGGGUGGUUAAAUUUCAUCUAAAGCUAAAUAUUGGCGAGAGACCGAUAGCGAACAAGUACCGUGAGGGAAAGAUGAAAAGAACUUUGAAAAGAGAGUUAAACAGUACGUGAAAUUGUCAAAAGGGAAGCGUUUGACACCAGUGUUGUUUUUCUGAAAAUCAAUUAAAGAACUGUUUAUGCUAAGUUGUUUAGACUUUAUCAGCUAUCUGCUUAGUUUUGAGCUUUUCUUUAAUGCACUUUUCAGUUAACAAGUCAACAUCAAUUUCUUUUGCUGUAAAAAAGCUUGAGGAAGGUGGCUUGAGAUUCGUCUUAAGUGUUUAUAGCCUCUUGCCUAUGCAGUCGGAGAGAUUGAGGUCUGCAGCGUAGAUCCUUCGGGGCUAAAUGCAUUUGUGCUAAGUUAUAGCAUUUUAUAGACAACUUGUUGACUAUGAUUUGUCUUGUAGCUUACUCGCUUAUGUUAUUUUACCUACGCUUAGGAUGUUGAGUCGUAGAGCACGCAG
rnacentral:rRNA from 1 species